UACCAGCACCCCGAGUGGUCGGGACGUUUAUUGGGCCUAAAGCAUCCGUAGCCGGUUCUACAAGUCUUCCGUUAAAUCCACCUGCUUAACAGAUGGGCUGCGGAAGAUACUAUGGAGCUAGGAGGCGGGAGAGGCAAGCGGUACUCGAUGGGUAGGGGUAAAAUCCGUUGAUCCAUUGAAGACCACCAGUGGCGAAGGCGGCUUGCCAGAACGCGCUCGACGGUGAGGGAUGAAAGCUGGGGAAGCAAACCGG
rnacentral:rRNA from 1 species